rnacentral:rRNA from 1 species
UACAGGGGGGGCAAGCGUUGUUCGGAAUUACUGGGCGUAAAGGGCCAGUAGGCGGCCAACUAAGUCACACGUGAAAUCCCCAGGCUUAACCUGGGAACUGCGUGUGAUACUGGAUGGCUUGAAUUCGGGAGAGGGAUGCAGAAUUCCAGGUGUAGCGGUGAAAUGCGUAGAUAUCGGAAGGAACACCUGUGGCGAAAGCGGCUCACUGGACCAUUACUGACGCUGAUGCACGAAAGCUAGGGGAGCAAACAGG